rnacentral:lncRNA from 1 species
CCCAGAAAUGUAAAAUAUAAAUAUACAUAUAUAUUCUCAAGACUUCAAGUCGUUAACUCAACAUUUUCAUAACAAUUAUGCCAUGCCACAUCAUCUCAACAUUUCUCAUAUUAAUUAUGCCAUGCCACAUCAUCUCAACAAUAAUAAGGUAUGAAUGCAUCAACAUAAUCAUAUCAGGUGCAAGAAAGUAAUCAACCGUAGGCCCUCUAAUAGCCCUGUACGGUUGAACCUAGAGCUCAAAAUCUAUCACUAUCACUCUACCGGAGUCACCUCUGUGACCUGUCCGGCCUUCUGCACACAAGUUACGCUCUAGUGCUUCUCAUAAAUCAUCUGUGCACAUAAUCUAAGGUCACCCACCAGUCGGAAUCUCACUAACACUCUCGCGACUGGCCUGUCGUACCCACUCCGCGUGGACUGUACGACUAGCAUUACUUGGAUCCAAGGCGAG